GCGCCACCCAGGUAGGUGCGCCUGCGCUUUGCGAGGUUCCUGGCUAGGGAGGCGGCCUUGGCUGGCUUGACCGUCAUCCUUGAGGCCUGCGGGGCAACGGUGGCUGUCCUUGGCCCGGCUUUGGAAUGUGGCUUUGCAGGGCUGGUGUUGGCGCCAUUCUCGCAGGCCCACGUGCUCCUGCUCUUCCAGGGUGUCCUCGGCUGUUUCUCCUGCCGCGGCGCAGCAGCGCUCCCAGGCUGCCCCCGCGAUAACACGCCCCUGGCAGCCAGGCUCCCAGCUCUGUUACGUGCCCGGGCGGGGAAGAGCUUCCUGGUGUCUCCCGGCUCCUGCCCUUCUCCCGCCCCAGGGGCGGGCUGCCGCCGCCCUCUGCAGCUGAGUCAGUGCAGUUCCUCACCUACCUUCUCUGCUCACCGCUGUGUGCUAGCAAUCGGAGGACCCUUGGCACACGGAGCGACAGGGGCCUCCCCCACAGACACCUCAUUUUGGGAAAGAAGCUGUACAGGAGGCAUGGCUGGGGAGGCCUCAGAAAACUUACAAUCAUGGCAGAAGGUGAAGGGGAAGCCAGCACAUCUUCAUAUGAUGGCAGGAACUUUAUAUGUUAUAGAAGUUAGCCCCAAGAAUGAAAUCGUGUCCUUUGCCAAAACAUGGAUGGAGCUAGAGGCCUUUAUCCUAAGUGAGUUAACGCAGGAACAGAAAGCCAAAUAGUGCAUGUUCUCACUGAUAAGUGGGAGCUAAACUAUGGGUUCACAAAGGCAUGCAGAGUGGUACUGUGGACAUUGGAGACUCAGAAUGGGGGAGGCUAGGAGGGAGGUAAGGGAUGAAAAAGUACCUGUUGGGUACAAUGUACACUACUUGGGUGACGAUGGGUCCACUAAAAUCCCAGAUUUAACCACUGUACAAUUCAUCCAUGUAACCAAAACCCACCUGUACCCCAAUGCUAUGAAAAUAAAUAAAACCAAAUUAGCUCUGUUUCUGUUAGAUGAGAUGCAAAUAUUUUCCCAAGUUUGUCCUUUGUCUUUUG
rnacentral:lncRNA from 1 species